rnacentral:rRNA from 1 species
UACGGAGGGUGCAAGCGUUAAUCGGAAUUACUGGGCGUAAAGCGCACGCAGGCGGUUUGUUAAGUCAGAUGUGAAGUCCCCGAGCUUAACUUGGGAACUGCAUUUGAAACUGGCAAGCUAGAGUCUUGUAGAGGGGGGUAGAAUUCCAGGUGUAGCGGUGAAAUGCGUAGAGAUCUGGAGGAAUACCGGUGGCGAAGGCGGCCCCCUGGACAAAGACUGACGCUCAGGUGCGAAAGCGUGGGGAGCAAACAGG